UACGGGGGGAGCAAGCGUUGUUCGGAUUUACUGGGCGUAAAGGGCGCGUAGGCGGUUGGAUAAGUCAGCUGUGAAAACCACGGGCUUAACUCGUGGCCUGCAGUUGAGACUGUCUGGCUUGAGUGUGGGAGAGGAGAGUGGAAUUCCUGGUGUAGCGGUGAAAUGCGUAGAUAUCAGGAGGAACACCGGUGGCGAAGGCGGCUCUCUGGACCACAACUGACGCUGAGGCGCGAAAGCUAGGGGAGCAAACAGG
rnacentral:rRNA from 1 species